rnacentral:rRNA from 1 species
UUACCAUGCAGUCGAACGGCAGCACGAGAGAGCUUGCUCUCUUGGUGGCGAGUGGCGGACGGGUGAGUAAUAUAUCGGAACGUGCCUAGUAGCGGGGGAUAACUACUCGAAAGAGUGGCUAAUACCGCAUACGCCCUACGGGGGAAAGGGGGGGAUCGCAAGACCUCUCACUAUUAGAGCGGCCGAUAUCGGAUUAGCUAGUUGGUGGGGUAAAGGCUCACCAAGGCAACGAUCCGUAGCUGGUUUGAGAGGACGACCAGCCACACUGGGACUGAGACACGGCCCAAACUCCUACGGGAGGCAGCAGUGGGGAAUUUUGGACAAUGGGGGAAACCCUGAUCCAGCCAUCCCGCGUGUAUGAUGAAGGCCUUCGGGUUGUAAAGUACUUUUGGCAGAGAAGAAAAGGUACCUCCUAAUACGAGGUACUGCUGACGGUAUCUGCAGAAUAAGCACCGGCUAACUACGUGCCA